CAGCGUUGCCUCGGCGGGCGGCCCCUCCCUGGGGCCGCCGCCUCCCUCGGGGGGUGCCCGCCGGCGUACCAAAACUCUUUUGUAUUUUAGUGGCCUCUCUGAGAAAACAAGCAAAUAAGUUAAAACUUUCAACAACGGAUCUCUUGGUUCUGGCAUCGAUGAAGAACGCAGCGAAAUGCGAUAAGUAAUGUGAAUUGCAGAAUUCAGUGAAUCAUCGAAUCUUUGAACGCACAUUGCGCCCGCCAGUACUCUGGCGGGCAUGCCUGUUCGAGCGUCAUUUCAACCCUCAAGCCCUGCUUGGUGUUGGGGUCCUACGGCUGCCGUAGGCCCUGAAAGCUAGUGGCGGGCUCGCUAUAACUCCGAGCGUAGUAGUAAAAUAUCUCGCUAGGGAGGUGUCGCGGGUUCCGGCCGUGAAAGCCCAUCUUUUACACAAGGUUGACCUCGGAUCAGGUAGGAAUACCCGCUGAACUUAAGCAUAUCAAUAAGCGGAGGAAAAGAAACCAACAGGGAUUGCCCCAGUAACGGCGAGUGAAGCGGCAACAGCUCAAAUUUGAAAUCUGGCUUCGGCCCGAGUUGUAAUUUGUAGAGGAUGCUUUUGGUGAGGUGCCUUCUGAGUUCCCUGGAACGGGACGCCAGAGAGGGUGAGAGCCCCGUAUAGUUGGACACCGAGCCUCUGUAAAGCUCCUUCGACGAGUCGAGUAGUUUGGGAAUGCUGCUCAAAAUGGGAGGUAUAUCUCUUCUAAAGCUAAAUACUGGCCAGAGACCGAUAGCGCACAAGUAGAGUGAUCGAAAGAUGAAAAGCACUUUGAAAAGAGGGUUAAAUAGUACGUGAAAUUGUUGAAAGGGAAGCGCUUGUGACCAGACUUGUGCCCGGCUGAUCAUCCAGUGUUCUCACUGGUGCACUCUGCCGGGCUCAGGCCAGCGUCGGUUCUCGCAGGGGGACAAAAGCUUCGGGAA
rnacentral:rRNA from 1 species